CUCAGCAUUUUUGUAAUGCAGAUGAGCGUCUUCCUUGAACUGCACAGUACUUGGAAAGCUCUGAGAAACGUUCAUCUCCUGAGGGCAGGAAAUUCCCAAAGCCCCCCUGUUAGCGGCCUACGAUCAAAUCCUGGCAGGCUCUUUGGCCCUCUGUCCCGCUUUCUCUCGCUCACCUGACAUCUACCCAUGCUUCCUAUUGGUGCUGCAGCAGCUGAAAGACAUCUGAAAUAUAUGAGAAAUUAACUGGUAAGGCAUCAGCGGCUGCCAGAACUCCAGGGGAAAAGAAAUCCAUGAGCUAAUGGAGUUAGCAGCAAUGCAAACCUGGACACGACUACAAAUUGCUUCAGCACAUGUGAUCCUGAAAACAGAGGGUCAAAGGAGCUGUGUCCCGUUUCCUGCAGCACUUGCUUGGCUCAGCACUGAGUGUGUGCUGAGAUCCGGUGCUGCACACUGGGCACAGGGAGAGCUCUUUUUUGGUUGACUCUUCUGGACUGUCUUCCCGAGGCAGAAGCUGGAAACCACCACGACCUCAGGGUUUCAGCACACAGAGAUGCUGUAAAUCCCAGUGAAUGAGGCCCAGCGUGGAGCGGUUAUUUUCAAGGGCACUGCUACCAAUCUAUCCAGAGAGAGAGCUGGUCUCUGGGCAUCACUAAGAGGACUUGGAUAACACAGCAGGAGCAGGACAGAGAUGUACAGGAGUCAUUUAAAAAUAGAAAAAUAUAAUUUAAAAACAAACUCUUCUGGAUGUAACUUGAAAAAUAAGCAAGUAGAAAAUAUGAAACGAAUGCAAAGGGCUCCAGGUUUCUCGUUCUUCAAAAGUGGUGAUGGUUCAGGUGGGUGAUGAGCAGCUACAGAAGUAAACUAUUAAAUCAAAGAAAAAAAGAGUAUGUAUGUACAUAUGUAUGCACUUUGAAAGACGCUGAAUUAUAAAUGCUUCUGAAUCAUAAAAAUACAGAGCUUGUCAGUGGUUUCUGUCGAAGAUUGAACAUCUGAUUUCAUUUGUUCACAGCACAGCCUGUAUGAGUUAUCACAUCAAAAUCAGACAGAAGGGAGAAAGACACCACGAUAUCCUGUAGGCUUAAAAAAUAUAAAAUAAAAACGAAC
rnacentral:lncRNA from 1 species